rnacentral:rRNA from 1 species
AGGCAGCAGUGAGGAAUAUUGGUCAAUGGGCGGGAGCCUGAACCAGCCAUGCCGCGUGAAGGCGAGUGCCCUACGGGCGUUAAACUUCUUUUGUGCGGGAGCAAUAAGGGCCACGCGUGGCCCGAUGAGAGUACCGCACGAAUAAGCAUCGGCUAACUCCGUGCCAGCAGCCGCGGUAAUACGGGGGAUGCGAGCGUUAUCCGGAUUUAUUGGGUUUAAAGGGUGCGUAGGCGGCGCUUCAGGUCAGCGGUGAAAUACCGGGGCUCAACCCCGGGGCUGCCGUUGAAACCGGAGCGCUAGAAUUCCGAUGCCGUCGGAGGAAUGUGUGGUGUAGCGGUGAAAUGCAUAGAUAUCACACAGAACACCGAUUGCGAAGGCAUCUGACGAAUCGGAGAUUGACGCUGAUGCACGAAAGCGUGGGUAUCGAACAGGAUUAGAUACCCUGGUAGUCCACGCUGUAAACGAUGAUGACUAGCCGUCGGCGAUACAGUGUCGGUGGUC